ensembl:misc_RNA 7SK 7SK RNA
CGAUGUGAGAGCCAUCUGCCUGUGACACCCGUCACCACACUGAGCUCCAGGCUUGAGUCUGCCCAUGUGCCUGCCCAAGCCCGGGUCCCCUUCCUCACCCAGUGCUCCAUAUGCAUCCCUCCCAAAGCUGCUGGGGCACAGAGGACGACCUCCCCGAUACAGACAGUAUAUUUUAUCACACAAGGCUAUUUUGUACCUGCUAUAACCUCCAAGAACCUCAAGGUCCAUUUCUUUGAGUACGAAGAUUAAGGAAGCUUCCAAGACUGCAGACACAUACAAGUGAGGUGCUUCACAAGGAAGUAUUCUGAAUUUU